CCUACGGGGGGCAGCAGUGGGGAAUAUUGGACAAUGGGGGCAACCCUGAUCCAGCCAUGCCGCGUGUGUGAAGAAGGCCCUCGGGUUGUAAAGCACUUUCAGUGAGGAAGAACGCCUGGUGGUUAAUACCCAUCAGGAAAGACAUCACUCACAGAAGAAGCACCGGCUAACUCCGUGCCAGCAGCCGCGGUAAUACGGAGGGUGCGAGCGUUAAUCGGGAUUACUGGGCGUAAAGCGCGCGUAGGUGGCUUGAUAAGCCGGUUGUGAAAGCCCCGGGCUCAACCUGGGAACGGCAUCCGGAACUGUCAAGCUAGAGUGCAGGAGAGGAAGGUAGAAUUCCCGGUGUAGCGGUGAAAUGCGUAGAGAUCGGGAGGAAUACCAGUGGCGAAGGCGGCCUUCUGGACUGACACUGACACUGAGGUGCGAAAGCGUGGGUAGCAAACAGGAUUAGAUACCCCAGUAGUC
rnacentral:rRNA from 1 species